rnacentral:rRNA from 1 species
GACGAACGCUGGCGGCGUGCUUAACACAUGCAAGUCGAGCGGUAAGGCCCCUUCGGGGGUACACGAGCGGCGAACGGGUGAGUAACACGUGAGCAAUCUGCCCUUCACUCUGGGAUAACCCCCGGAAACGGGAGCUAAUACCGGAUACGACCACUUCAGGCAUCUGAUGGUGGUGGAAAGCUCCGGCGGUGGAGGAUGAGCUCGCGGCCUAUCAGCUUGUUGGUGAGGUAAUGGCUCACCAAGGCUUCGACGGGUAGCCGGCCUGAGAGGGCGACCGGCCACACUGGGACUGAGACACGGCCCAGACUCCUACGGGAGGCAGCAGUGGGGAAUAUUGCGCAAUGGGCGGAAGCCUGACGCAGCGACGCCGCGUGGGGGAUGACGGCCUUCGGGUUGUAAACCUCUUUCGCCAGGGACGAAGCGCAAGUGACGGUACCUGGAUAAGAAGCACCGGCCAACUACGUGCCAGCCGCCGCGGUAAAAC